AAGAAAUGAUGAGAUGCAUCUUCAGGUCCGUGUUUUUGAUGAAAGUGAUAGUAAUUGAAGAUCUGAUCUU
rfam:Lingula anatina scaffold127, whole genome shotgun sequence.